GCUGGAGUGGUGGAGCACAUGGAAAGGAGGGAUCCUGCACAGCAGUUGUUGCUGCAGCAUGAGGACACGAAGUAAGACGAUUCGGAUUCAGGAGACAGACAGAUGAUUGGAGAGUGGAGGACAGAUUGAGGUGUGAGGGAAAAAGAAAUGAACAGAUUAACUAGAGAUGGAGGACAAUUCACAUGGCAGCGAGACGAGUAGGCAAGUGUUUCCUGUUGUCUAGAAAAUGUGAAACAGCAUGCUUGUGUAUAAAUGAAAAUCCAGCAA